AUUGAACGCUAGCGGCAGGCCUAACACAUGCAAGUCGAACGAGUGGCGGACGGGUGAGUAAUGUCUGGGAAACUGCCUGAUGGCGGGGGAUAACUACUGGAAACGGUAGCUAAUACCGCAUACCAUCGGAUUUGCCCAGAUGGGAUUAGCUAGUUGGUGGGGUAACGGCUCACCAAGGCAACGAUCCCUAGCUGGUCUGAGAGGAUGACCAGACACACUGGAACUGAGACACGGUCCAGACUCCUACGGGAGGCAGCAGUGGGGAAUAUUGCACAAUGGGCGCAAGCCUGAUGCAGCCAUGCCGCGUGUAUGAAGAAGGCCUUCGGGUUGUAAAGUACUUUCAGCGGGGAGGCGGUACCCGCAGAAGAAGCACCGGCUAACUCCGUGCCAGCAGCCGCGGUAAUAC
rnacentral:rRNA from 1 species